rnacentral:rRNA from 1 species
GACGAACGCUGGCGGCGUGCUUAACACAUGCAAGUCGAACGGCAGGGUCCUGCUUUUGUGCUGUGCUCGAUUGGCGAACGGGUAAGUAACACGUAAGUAACCUGCCCUUGACUUUCGGAUAACUUCAGGAAACUGGGGCUAAUACCGGAUAGGCGCUCCUGCUGCAUAGUGGGGGUUGGCACGUUUCGGCGGUUGUGGAUGGACUAGCGGCUUAUCAGCUUGUUGGUGGGGGAGUGGCUAACCAAGGCUUUGACGGGUAGCCGGCCUGAGAGGGUGACCGGGCAACUUGGGACUGAGAUACGGCCCAGAGUCCUACGGGAGGCAGCAGUAGGGAAUAGUGCAUAAUGGGCGGAAGCCUGAUGCAGCAACGCCGCGUGCGGGAUGACGGCCUUCUGGUUGUAGACCGCUUCCGGCUGUGCCGAAGCGUGACUGACGGUAAUGUAUAAAGAAGCACCGGCUAACUCCGUG